CCUACGGGCGGCAGCAGUGAGGAAUAUUGGUCAAUGGACGAGAGUCUGAACCAGCCAAGUAGCGUGAAGGAUGACUGCCCUAUGGGUUGUAAACUUCUUUUAUAUGGGAAUAAAGCGAAGCAUGUAUACUGUUUUGCAUGUACUUUAUGAAUAAGGAUCGGCUAACUCCGUGCCAGCAGCCGCGGUAAUACGGAGGAUCCGAGCGUUAUCCGGAUUUAUUGGGUUUAAAGGGAGCGUAGGUGGGUUGUUAAGUCAGUUGUGAAAGUUUGCGGCUCAACCGUAAAAUUGCAGUUGAUACUGGCAGCCUUGAGUACAGUUGAGGUAGGCGGAAUUCGUGGUGUAGCGGUGAAAUGCUUAGAUAUCACGAAGAACCCCGAUUGCGAAGGCAGCCUACUAAACUGUAACUGACACUGAUGCUCGAAAGUGUGGGUAUCAAACAGGAUUAGAUACCCUUGUAGUC
rnacentral:rRNA from 1 species